rnacentral:rRNA from 1 species
GACGAACGCUGGCGGCGUGCUUAACACAUGCAAGUCGAACGGAAAGACGCUGCUCUUGUGGGGUGCUCGAUUGGCGAACAGGUGAGAAACACGUGAGUAACCCCCCCUUGACUUUGUGAUAACAUCAGGAAAAAGGGGCGAAUACCGCGUAGAAGAUCCUGCUGCGUGGUGUUCGUUGGAAAGUGUCGGCGGUGGGGGCUGGACUGGCGGCUUAUCAGCUUGUUGGUCUGGUAGUGGCUUACAAAGGCUUCGACGGGUAGGCGGCCUGAGAGGGGGAACGGGGACAAUGGGACUGAGAGACGGAGCAGAAUGCAAUGGGAGGCAGUAGUCGGGAAUCUUGCGCAGUGGGCGGGCGCGUGAGACAGCAACGCUGGGUGCGUAAUGCCGGCUUACGGGGUGUAAACAGCUUUCGAAGGAGCCGAAGCGUGAGUGACGGUAAUGGGUAAAGAAGCACCGGCUAACUACGUG